rnacentral:rRNA from 1 species
AGUGGCGGACGGGUGAAUAUCACGUAAGCAAUCUACCUCUUUGUCUGGGAUAACCUGCCGAAAGGCGGGCUAAUACUGGAUAUUAUCCAGACCUCGCAUGAGAUUUGGAUGAAAGAUUUAUCGCUAAGAGAUGAGCUUGCGGCCUAUCAGCUAGUUGGUGAGGUAACGGCUCACCAAGGCUAUGACGGGUAGCUGGUCUGAGAGGACGAUCAGCCACACUGGAACUGAGACACGGUCCAGACUCCUACGGGAGGCAGCAGUGAGGAAUUUUCCGCAAUGGGCGAAAGCCUGACGGAGCGACGCCGUGUGAGUGAUGAAGGCUUUCGGGUCUUAAAACUCUGUCAGCAGGAACGAUAAUGACGGUACCUGCAGAGGAAGCCCCGGCUAACUACGUGCCAGCAGCCGCGGUAAUACGUAGGGGGCAAGCGUUGUCCGGAAUUAUUGGGCGUAAAGCGCAUGUAGGCGGCUUUGUAAGUCAAGUGUUAAAGCCCCGGGCUCAACCCGGGUUCGCAUUUGAUACUGUGAAGCUAGAGAAAUGUAGAGGAUAGCGGAACUACCGGUGUAGCGGUGAAAUGCGUAGAUAU